rnacentral:rRNA from 1 species
UGCAGUCGAACGGUGAAGCCCUUCGGGGUGGAUCAGUGGCGAACGGGUGAGUAACACGUGGGCAAUCUGCCCUGCACUCUGGGACAAGCCCUGGAAACGGGGUCUAAUACCGGAUAUGACCUUGGUCCGCAUGCUCCUGGGUGUAAAGCUCCGGCGGUGCAGGAUGAGCCCGCGGCCUAUCAGCUUGUUGGUGGGGUGAUGGCCUACCAAGGCGACGACGGGUAGCCGGCCUGAGAGGGCGACCGGCCACACUGGGACUGAGACACGGCCCAGACUCCUACGGGAGGCAGCAGUGGGGAAUAUUGCACAAUGGGCGAAAGCCUGAUGCAGCGACGCCGCGUGAGGGAUGACGGCCUUCGGGUUGUAAACCUCUUUCAGCAGGGAAGAAGCGCAAGUGACGGUACCUGCAGAAGAAGCACCGGCUAACUACGUGCCAGCAGCCGCGGUAAUACGUAGGGUGCGAGCGUUGUCCGGAAUUAUUGGGCGUAAAGAGCUCGUAGGCGGCCUGUCGCGUCGGAUGUGAAAGCCCGGGGCUUAACCCCGGGUCUGCAUUCGAUACGGGCAGGCUGGAGUGUGGUAGGGGAGAUCGGAAUUCCUGGUGUAGCGGUGAAAUGCGCAGAUAUCAGG